rnacentral:rRNA from 1 species
GAGGAUGGGCGGCGCACGUAGUCGCGCCGCCCCGCACUCCCGGGGCGUCUCGCACUCAUCGCGAGGCGAGGCGCACCGCGAGCGCGCGCGCUGGGACCCGAAAGAUGGUGAACUAUGCCUGGUCAGGACGAAGUCAGGGGAAACCCUGAUGGAGGUCCGUAGCGAUUCUGACGUGCAAAUCGAUCGUCGGAACUGGGUAUAGGGGCGAAAGACUAAUCGAACCAUCUAGUAGCUGGUUCCCUCCGAAGUUUCCCUCAGGAUAGCUGGCACUCGGGAGAACCGCGCUGGCUAGCGCCAGCGCAACAUCACGAGUCUCAUCCGGUAAAGCGAAUGAUUAGAGGCAUUGGGGUCGAAACGGCCUCAACCUAUUCUCAAACUUUAAAUGGGUGAGAUCUCCGGCUUGCUUGAAAAGCUCGGGUGAAGCCGGAGAUCGGAUCAACGGGUGCCAAGUGGGCCACUUUUGGUAAGCAGAACUGGCGCUGUGGGAUGAACCAAACGUCGAGUUAAAGCGCCAAAAUCGACGCUUAUGGGACACCAUGAAAGGCGUUG